rnacentral:rRNA from 1 species
UACGGAGGGAGCUAGCGUUGUUCGGAAUUACUGGGCGUAAAGCGCACGUAGGCGGAUAUUUAAGUCAGGGGUGAAAUCCCAGAGCUCAACUCUGGAACUGCCUUUGAUACUGGGUAUCUUGAGUAUGGAAGAGGUAAGUGGAAUUCCGAGUGUAGAGGUGAAAUUCGUAGAUAUUCGGAGGAACACCAGUGGCGAAGGCGGCUUACUGGUCCAUUACUGACGCUGAGGUGCGAAAGCGUGGGGAGCAAACAGG